rnacentral:rRNA from 1 species
AGUGAACGCUGGCGGCGUGCCUAAUACAUGCAAGUCGAACGGAGUGGCGCACGGGUGCGUCAUGUAUAGCUAAUCUGCCCUCCACUAGAGGACAACAGUUUGUAACGGCUGCUAAUAGUGUAGGUUGAGGCUAUAUUGUAUCAGCUAGUUGGUGAGGUAAUGGCUCACCAAGGCUAUGACGCAUAACUGGUCUGAGAGGAUGAUCAGUCACACUGGAACUGAGACACGGUCCAGACUCCUACGGGAGGCAGCAGUAGGGAAUAUUGCGCAAUGGGGGAAACCCUGAAGCAGCAACGCCGCGGGAGGGAUGACGGCCUUCGGGUUGUAAAGCUCUGUUAAUCGGGACGCGGUACCGGAAUAGAAAGCCACGGCUAACUACGUGCCAGCAGCCGCGGUAAUAC